GUUUUUUUGUGGAGGGUUCGAUUCUGGCUCAGGAUGAACGCUGGCGGCGUGCUUAACACAUGCAAGUCGAACGGGAUCCAUCGGGCUUUGCUUGGUGGUG
rnacentral:rRNA from 1 species